UUAGGUAGCGGACGGGUGAGUAACGCGUAAAGAACUUGCCUCACAGCUAGGGACAACAUUUAGAAAUGAAUGCUAAUACCUGAUAUUAUGAUUUUAAGGCAUCUUAGAAUUAUGAAAGCUAUAUGCACUGUGAGAGAGCUUUGCGUCCCAUUAGCUAGUUGGAGAGGUAACAGCUCACCAAGGCGAUGAUGGGUAGCCGGCCUGAGAGGGUGAACGGCCACAAGGGGACUGAGACACGGCCCUUACUCCUACGGGAGGCAGCAGUGGGGAAUAUUGGACAAUGGACCGAGAGUCUGAUCCAGCAAUUCUGUGUGCACGAUGAAGUUUUUCGGAAUGUAAAGUGCUUUCAGUUGGGAAGAAAGAAAUGACGGUACCAACAGAAGAAGUGACGGCUAAAUACGUGCCAGCAGCCGCGGUAAUACGUAUGUCACGAGCGUUAUCCGGAUUUAUUGGGCGUAAAGCGCGUCUAGGUGGUUAUGUAAGUCUGAUGUGAAAAUGCAGGGCUCAACUCUGUAUUGCGUUGGAAACUGUAUAACUAGAGUACUGGAGAGGUAAGCGGAACUACAAGUGUAGAGGUGAAAUUCGUAGAUAUUUGUAGGAAUGCCGAUGGGGAAGCCAGCU
rnacentral:rRNA from 1 species